GCCAGAGAAGCGCAGCCAGGCAGGGGCUAGAAGGGAGAUCUUCUCAGAGAGAACUGUCGGUUUCAGUGUUUUCUCUUGCCUGUUGCUCUGCAUCAGUGAAGGCGUUGGAUGCUCACUGCCUGCUGUGCAGCACAACUCAUGGAUAAUGGCCCAAAUAUUCUCUCCAGAGAAACAAGUCGUUUGGAAACUGCAUUACACCAUCAGCGUGGUAUUAGAUAAUCCUUGCCAAGUGAUCCCACUGAAUGCCAGCUGGAAUAAGAUUAGCUCCUCCUGAACCUGAGACAUGAAACAAUGACUGCCAGAGACUCCUGGUCUGCAUUUGAACUCUCCAGAAGAUGAAGUGUCCUUCUAUCUCUAUUUCUUCUUCUUCCCCGUGAAAGUCAAGCUGUGAGCAUGUGAGGGGGCAGUGCAUCUCAAUUGCAUUCUGCCAUCGUCCUGAUAAAUCCAGCAGUAUGUGGCAGCCCCCUUUAGAUACUGAAAGGCUGCUGUCAUAUCUCCCCAGAACCUUUUCUUCUUUGUGAUGAACAGCCCCAGCUCUCAUCCUGUCCUCGUAGAGAAGUGUUCCAUCCCUUGGAUCAUUUUUUUGGCCCUUGUCUGAAUGUGCUCCAACAGCUCCAUGUCUCUCCUGUAUUGAGGACUCCACAUCUGGACACAGUACUCCAGGAAAGCUUCAGAUUUGAUCGAUUAUACUGCUUUUUGCCUGAAUUUUACCUGUACAGAUCAAUGACUACCAUACUAUACAUGUAAUACCUGAGCAAAUAAACUAAGCUUGCUAUAAUUUUAUUUAUGGGGCAUCUUCAAGGGAUAUUUACAUUCUUUAUAUUUUAUUUACAUUCUGAUACAUUAGGUUAUGAC
ensembl:lncRNA